CUUCACAGAGCACUAUUUUGAACUUUCUCAUUUAGUGAUAAAAAUUUGAUGACUUUCUUCCUGUGGCUUCCUGGUUUUGUUUCCCUCCCCAACUUUUAUCUGCCUUUACUGUCUCUGUAUUGUCCAGUUUUGAACUGCCCGUUCACUUUCACAGCAGCUCUCUCUCUGUAGGUGAGAGGUCCAGGAGCUUGCAACUCCCUCAGCACCUCCCCUGGCUCCCUGGCUCCUACCCAAAUGUGGAUAUCCCAGGGAACAUCUGUUGGAACUUCCUGUGGUCAGAGGUGUCAUGACGUCCUUCUUUCCCUGUAUCUUUCCUCAUGGCUGCUGACUUCCCAAGGCCCGUGGCACAGGUUCCAACCCACUUUGCAGGGAAAGCUUGUCACCUACGGUUUUGGUUUUGCUAUCCAGUGGGUCACGUAGAAGCUGUGGAGCAGUGGAAGUCAGUUAACAGGGUGAAACAUUUGGCACCGAGUGGUUGAAGACUGAUAGGAAGAAGCACCCUCAUUGUCCCAGCAAUAGGUGUCACCUCACCAAUUGAAGAGGAAGGGAGACCAGAUGACCUUUUCAGGGGAAUAAAUGUUGCUCUAAAGCUGCUGAACAUUCAAAAUGCAUCAACUCAUACAAUCCCCACAGCCACCUGGUGAGGUGGACAGCGUCAGUAUGUUAAGGAACAAUGCUGAGAACAUGCCAAUCAGAGGGUCUCAGCUGAGUGACAGGGGACUCUCCCCUAGGCUGGGGGACCUAUAAGCUGAGUGGAGCUACCUGGACCUCUUAGGGAUUCCAGAGAGGUGACAGUGUGAAAAGGUUCCUCUUUCUAAUAGGGCAUCUGAAAAAUCUACCACCAUUCAUUCAUUUGCUUCUUCAGUGCCUAUCACAUCCAAAGGCUAUGAGAGGCUGGGGAUUUACUGGUGAGCAAAGCAGAUGAAAACACAAGGCUCAAGGAAUGUGUGCUCU